rnacentral:rRNA from 1 species
AACGAACGCUGGCGGCAUGCCUAACACAUGCAAGUCGAACGAGACCUUCGGGUCUAGUGGCGCACGGGUGCGUAACGCGUGGGAACCUGCCCUUAGGUUCGGAAUAACUCCCCGAAAGGGGUGCUAAUACCGGAUAAUGUCUUCGGACCAAAGAUUUAUCGCCUUUGGAUGGGCCCGCGUUGGAUUAGCUAGUUGGUAGGGUAAAAGCCUACCAAGGCGACGAUCCAUAGCUGGUCUGGGAGGAUGAUCAGCCACACUGGGACUGAGACACGGCCCAGACUCCGACGGGAGGCAGCAGUGGGGAAUAUUAGACAAGGGGCGAAAGCCUGAUCCAGCAAUGCCGCGUGAGUGAUGAAGGCCUUAGGGUUGUAAAGCUCUUUUACCCGAGAUGAUAAUGACAGUACCGGGAGAAUAAGCUCCGGCUAACUCCGUG